rnacentral:piRNA from 1 species
UAGAACCUUUUCAAUGGUAGCCAUAAAUGGU